rnacentral:rRNA from 1 species
AGAGUUUGAUCCUGGCUCAGAGCGAACGCUGGCGGCAGGCUUAACACAUGCAAGUCGAGCGGGUGUAGCAAUACAUCAGCGGCAGACGGGUGAGUAACGCGUGGGAACAUACCUUUUGGUUCGGAACAACCCAGGGAAACUUGGGCUAAUACCGGAUAAGCCCUUACGGGGAAAGAUUUAUCGCCGAAAGAUUGGCCCGCGUCUGAUUAGCUAGUUGGUGAGGUAAUGGCUCACCAAGGCGACGAUCAGUAGCUGGUCUGAGAGGAUGAUCAGCCACAUUGGGACUGAGACACGGCCCAAACUCCUACGGGAGGCAGCAGUGGGGAAUAUUGGACAAUGGGGGCAACCCUGAUCCAGCCAUGCCGCGUGAGUGAUGAAGGCCCUAGGGUUGUAAAGCUCUUUUGUGCGGGAAGAUAAUGACGGUACCGCAAGAAUAAGCCCCGGCUAACUUCGUGCCAGCAGCCGCGGUAAUACGAAGGGGGCUAGCGUUGCUCGGAAUCACUGGGCGUAAAGGGUGCGUAGGCGGGUCUUUAAGUCAGGGGUGAAAUCCUGGAGCUCAACUCCAGAACUGCCUUUGAUACUGAGGAUCUUGAGUCCGGGAGAGGUGAGUGGAACUGCGAGUGUAGAGGUGAAAUUCGUAGAUAUUCGCAAGAACACCAGUGGCGAAGGCGGCUCACUGGCCCGGUACUGACGCUGAGGCACGAAAGCGUGGGGAGCAAACAGGAUUAGAUACCCCGGUAGUCC